rnacentral:rRNA from 1 species
AGAAUCAACGCUGGCGGCGUGCCUAACACAUGCAAGUCGAACGAGAAAGUGAAGCAAUCCAUGAGUAAAGUGGCGCACGGGUGAGUAACACGUGACUAACCUACCCUUGAGUGGGGGAUAACCUAGGGAAACCUGGGCUAAUACCGCAUAAUACCUUCGGGUCAAAGGAGCAAUUCGCUUAAGGAGGGGGUCGCGGCCGAUUAGUUAGUUGGCGGGGUAAUGGCCCACCAAGACUGUGAUCGGUAUCCGGCCUGAGAGGGCGCACGGACACACUGGAACUGAAACACGGUCCAGACUCCUACGGGAGGCAGCAGUGGGGAAUUUGCGCAAUGGGGGAAACCCUGACGCAGCAACGCCGCGUGGAGGAUGAAGUCCCUUGGGACGUAAACUCCUUUCGAUCGGGACGAUUAUGACGGUACCGGAAGAAGAAGCCCCGGCUAACUUCGCGCCAGCAGCCGC